rnacentral:rRNA from 1 species
ANUCACUUGUCUUUUAAAUGGAGACCUGUAUGAAUGGCACAACGAGGGCUUGACUGUCUCCUCUUUCUUAUCAAUGAAAUUGAUCUCCCCGUGCAGAAGCGGGGAUCCNACCAUAAGACGAGAAGACCCUAUGGAGCUUUAGACACUAAAGCAGACCCUGUUAAAUACCCCCAAUUAAGGGCUAAAACCAAGGGGCCCCCUGCCCUAAUGUCUUUGGUUGGGGCGACCGCGGGGAAACACAAAACCCCCAUGUGGAACGGGACUACCUAUUCCUAAAACAGAGAGCUCCUGCUCCAAGUAACAAAAAUUUUGACCUCCAGAUCCGGCAAAGCCGAUCAACGGACCGAGUUACCCUAGGGAUAACAGCGCAAUCCUCUUUUAGAGCCCA